GCCUCGGUUGUGCAAUGGUUCAGCACGCGCUCCCGGAAAGUGAGAUCUGGGUUCGGAUCCCGGCUGAUGCA